GCUCAGUCCUUCAAAGAGUUUUCCCAGCUGCUGAGCACCAUGGAAGAGGAGAGAAGGCGGCUGAUACAGAAUGCCGAUGAUGUUCUGAUCACGCCCUUGGAGAGAUUCCGGAAAGAGCAGAUCGGAGCAGCCAAGGAGGGGAAGAAGAAAUUUGACAAGGAGACGGAAAAGUACUAUUCCUCACUGGAAAAACAUCUCAACCUGUCGUCCAGAAAAAAAGAUUCAGCUCUGC